UAAAGUUUACUAUAAAAAAAAUUACAAGAGCAUUGUUCAAUACUAAAAAAAUGUCCACAACUUCAAUAUAUCAAUAGUUUCACCUGAGAGGAGUUUAGGUUAGACGCAUCCCUUGUUUGAUCCAGCAUCUGUUUGGUUUGUUCCUCCUGGGCCGCUUGGCUUAAGGUAGUUUUAGAUGUAGUACCUGUACCUUGGCAAGUGACAAGAAUCAAUUAUUGACAUAUAGUGGACAAAAUCUGAUAAAUGUAGACGUGAAUAAAGUUUGCUAUUUGAGACUAUGAUCUAAAACUCCUAUUCUACUCCAAAGAGAUCCAAGUGGAUGAAGGAAAAGUCUAUUCUUGUAAUGCCUUAAUCCAUGGAAUACAAAUUGCAUCUACUAACAAGUAAUUUCAACUAUAAAACUUUUGAAAAAAGCUAGCUUUUCCAGCUUGUUGGACCAAAACAGUUGUUGUCGACAAAGUCAAGGAAAGCUUUGACGUGGUGGUGUUAAUUUUGUGCAGAACAGUAACAUUUAGAGUUGUUGUUGUAGCGUCAAAAGGAGUGACUGUAGAUGUCAAAUGUCACCUGGUACUCCCGUUGUCAGGUUCCAGUCUGCUGUUGAACUGCUUGCAGUCGAGCUUAGAUUGGAGAUGAUUCCAACACUUUGAUUGUGAUUGAUGGUGAUACUGACAGGGGAAGCAGCUGUUAGGUUAUCAUUUCCGUGGGUUGUUGUGAUGUUGGUCACUCUCGCUGUGGUCUGAUUUACAGUCUGGUUGAUAAGUGGAGCUCCUAUUGUUUCGUUGGUUAAAGGUGAGACUGUUGUGACAUUCAAUGUUGUUGUGUUAUUCAGAGAAGGUGUGACUGUUAUGUUGACUGUUAUGUUGGAUGUUAUUGUUUUAUUGGUUGAUGGUGAGACUGCUGUUGCAUUCAAUGUUGUUGUGUUAUUCAGAGAAGGUGUGACUGUUACGUUGGAUGUUGUUGUUUCAUUGGUUGGAGGUGAGAGUGUUGUGACAUUCAAUGUUGUUGUGUUAUUCAGAGAAGGUGCAACUGUUAUGUUGGAUGUUGUUGUUUCAUUGGUUGAAGGUGUGACUCUAGUUAUGUUGUUUGUCGUUGUGUCAUUCAGAGAAGGUGUGACUGUUAUGUUGGAUGUUGUUGUUUUAUUGGUUGAAGGUGAGACUGUUGUGACAUUGAAUGUUGUAGUGUCAUUAAGAAAAGGUGUGACUGUUAUGUUGGAUGUUAUUGUUUUAUUGGUUGAAUGUGAGACUGUUGUGACAUUCAAUGUUGUUGUGUUAUUCAGAGAAGGUGUGACUGUUACGUUGGAUGUUAUUGUUUUAUUGGUCGAAGGUGAGACUGUUGUGACAUUCAAUGUUGUUGUGUUAUUCAGAGAAGGUGUGACUGUUAUGUUGGAUGUUAUUGUGUUAUUGGUUGAAGGUGAGAUUCUUGUGACAUUCAAUGUUGUUGUGUUAUUCAAAGAAGGUGUGACUGUUAUGUUGGAUGUUAUUGUUUUAUUGUUUAAAGGUGACACUGUUGUGACAUUCAAUGUUGCUGUGGUUGUGUUAUUCAGAGAAGGUUUGACUGUUAUGUUCGGUAUGUUGUUGUUUCUUUGGUUGAAGGUGAGACUGUUGUGACUUUCAAUGUUGUUGUGUGAUUGGUUGAAGGUGUGACUGUAGUUAUGUUGUUUGUUGUUGUGUCAUUCAGAAAAGCUGUGACUGUUGCGUUGGAUGUUGUUGUUUUAUUUGUUAAAGGUGACACUGUUGUGACAUUGUAUGUUGUUGUUUGAUUGGUUGAAACUGAGACAGUUACAUUCAAUGUCAUUGUGUUAUUCAGAAAAGGUGUGACUGUCGUUACAUUGUUUGUUGUUGUGUCAUUCUGAAAGGGUGUGACUGUUGUUACACUGUAUGUUGUUGUGUGAUUGUUUGAAGGUGUGACUUUGUUAACUGUUACGUUGUCCACAGUUGUGUGGUUUUGUUGCAAUUUAGUUAUGUUAUGUGUGUAACCGAUGGAUUCAGUUGUCCUAACAUUUAAGUUUGAGUCAUUAGAGGAUAAUGUUGUGAAAUUUGUUGCGUUUUGCCGUCUUGUAGUUGUGUUUUGUAAUUUGCUAUUAUCAGUGGGUGUCCAUACUGUGCUGUUAGAUACAUUUGCGUUUUGUUCUGUUGUCACAGUAGUCACAGUCAUGUUUUGUGAGCUGGUUGUGAGGACUGGCUCUGCUGUCGAGGACUGGGUUCUGUCAUGUGUUGCGAGUGGAGUGGUCAUGCUGGACUGAGCUGUUACUUGUGAUGCAUUCUUCUGUUGAAUUGUUGCAGAACUUUCAGUUGUUGUUUUAGUUUUCUCAGUAGUGUUGACCACAGAUGGUGUUGAGGCCUCAGGAGUUGAAGUGCUUUGUGUAGUUGGGGGGGGCUCUCUCGGGCAGCUUUCGGUCAGAAGUACAGCAAGCCUUUCAUUUGC
ensembl:lncRNA